CGAAAAACGUGAAAAUCGUUCGUGUGUAUUGCAAAAACUUAAUUUUAAUGAACAUAACGUACGUAUAUGUACAUACACGUGCGGUCCGCUAGAACGAUUUUGGAUAUCAAUGCCAAAACAAAGCAGUUUUGGACUGGCGGCCCUUCCGCACCGCCUAAAAUCUCCGAGUCUGUGGCAGGCGUCAAUAGGUGGCGCAUGAACGCUUUUACAUUUCCUUCAUGAACAGUAUGCGCGCCAUGUCUAGAUAUGGUGGUGUGCCCCUCAUGCCUAUAUAACUGCUAUAAUUUGGUGAAAUGAAAGUUUGGGCCCAUGGCCUCUUGUUCGUGGUGGCUUGUUCUUCACUCACACCUUUCUUGUUUAAUGUUUUUUACUUGUCUAGGUUUUUCUUUGCACAAUUUGAACAAAUAAAUUUGUCCGUGGGAAAAACAUCAUGGACAGAUAUUAUAUAAUAUGCGUCAUAGACGCGGUACCAAACCGCCAUAGUACACUGUGGAGACAAGUAUAUACUUACUUAUAAAAGCCGCACACUCGAUGACAGUUAGUCAGUUGCUGGCCGUGCCUUCUGGAGAAAAAUAACCCACAGGGCAUCGAUAGCGGUAAUCGCGCAAUUCAACGCGCGAACCAUACCUAUAGUUCGAUAUUAAUAUGAUAAUGUUCAAAGAAAUAAUGUUUGCGUGCGUAAAAAAUAGGUAUCCAUUUACAUGGACUGCGCAUCGGAGCAUUUUUCAGUGUGUGCCUGACAGGAUUUUCAGAAAAUUUGUACAAAAUUUGAGAAUUAUUCCGCGAGUUCAGUUUUUAUAUCAACCACGUACCCAUCUCAUAUUCCAUAAAACUACUUUUCAUUAUAAUCGAUUGCGAGUAUAUUCUUUAUUUUUAAAUCAAGAUUCUUGCUUCCACUUCGCAUAGUGGGGGCGGAUAAAUCGCGGUAAAUCUAAAAAGUACGAGAAUCAUUAAAUUUAGAAAUUGUAAAUGCAUUUUUUCUGUUCUAUUAUGUUUUCUACGAUUUUGUUACAUCUGUUGCAUUGAUAUCUAGCUAUCUUUUUGAGGAAAAUAAUAGCGGUAGUGCAGAUAUCAAACUGCUUCUGGAUCGUGGAGCCGACUUGAGUAAACUAGACUCACCGUACGAGGUAUACUGUCCUACUUUGGAUUGGUAGACUCAUUGAAGAAGCUUACUCGGCUGGACUAAUAAGAAGAAGAAGAAGCGCAGAGUAGCGGAAGAAAGAGCAGGAGUACAUGGACUCGUGGCUGCACGUAGUGUGCCUAUGUGCAGUUGUCAACGAUGUAGGUAUUUUUGGUGUUCCACCUCUGCUCAAAGCACGCUGGCAAGUGCUCGAUCUUGAGGUUGAUGCUCGUGCAGAUCUCGACCAGCCAGUAACACCGGACUGGGAGAAGCAGUGGGUCCAGCUUCAUCACGAGGUCGAUUGUGUUCGAGCACCUGGCCAAGCGCUGCGUGCUGCAUGAUCCAAAACUGGAAAUCUUUGAGGCCGUGCUGAGUUGAAGGGGAGGGGACUCUCGAUUACUACAGCAACCAAGAUUUGCUGCGCCUUAUCGAGGCAAUGGAAUUAAAUGAAGAAUAAAUUUAUGAACUGUCACUUGG